rnacentral:tRNA from 1 species
AGGCCUGUAGCUCAAUUGGUUAGAGCCAUCCUCUCAUAAAGGAUCGGUUGGGGGUUCGAGUCCCUCCUGGCCUA